AAGUUAGUGUAACGCUAUACACGAGAACCAAACGAGUGAAAACUCGAGCAAGGUCAAGCAACAAAGAGCGCAGGGUGGAUGCCUUGGCACUAAGAGCCGAAGAAAGACGUGAUAAGCUGCGAAAAGCCGCGGGGAGGUGCAAAUAACCUGUGAUCCACGGAUAUCUGAAUGGGGAAACCCGGCUGGUUAAGCCAGUCAUCCAUACGCCAAUACAUAACGUAUGGAAGGGAACCCGGUGAACUGAAACAUCUAAGUAACCGGAGGAAGAGAAAGAAACAUCGAUUCUGGGAGUAGCGGCGAGCGAAACCGGAAGAGGCCAAACCGAGUCGCGUGCGAUUCGGGGUUCGGACCGCGGAAUUGAUUCAUGGAAGACAGCAGAAUGGUUUUGGGAAAUCCAACCAAAGAGGGUGACAGUCCCGUAAGCGAAGUUUGACAUGACAUGGCGGUAUCCAGAGUACAUCGAGACACGAGAAACCUUGAUGGAAUGAGCGGGGACCACCCCGUAAGCCUAAAUACUACUUAGUGACCGAUAGCGCAUAGUACUGUGAAGGAAAGGUGAAAAGGACCCCGGGAGGGGAGUGAAAGAGAACCUGAAACCCUGUGUUUACAAGCUGUGGUAGCACGAUUAUACGUGCGACCGCGUACUUUUUGUAGAACGGUCCGGCGAGUUACGCUUACUGGCGAGGUUAAGUACUACAGGUACGGAGCCGAAGGGAAACCAAGUCUUAAUAGGGCGAAUAGUCAGUAGGAGUAGACCCGAAACCGGGUGAUCUAUCCAUGUCCAGGUUGAAGCUGCCGUAAGAGGUAGUGGAGGACCGAACCCACAUCCGUUGAAAAGGGUGGGGAUGAGGUGUGGAUAGGGGAGAAAUUCCAAUCGAACCCGGAGAUAGCUGGUUCUCCUCGAAAUAGCUUUAGGGCUAGCCUCAACCAAGUCUACUGGAGGUAGAGCACUGAAUUUCCGCGGGGGCGUCAAAGCUUACCAAAGAAUAUCAAACUCCGAAUGCCAGAGAGAUGAUGGUUGGGAGUCAGACUAUACGAGAUAAGUUGGAUAGUCAAAAGGGAAACAGCCCAGACCACCAGCUAAGGUCCCAAAGUGUAUGUUAAGUGGAAAAGGAUGUGGGAUUUCGAAGACAACUAGGAUGUUGGCUCAGAAGCAGCCACACAUUCAAAGAGUGCGUAACAGCUCACUAGUCGAGAGGUCCUGCGCCGAAAAUGUCCGGGGCUAAAACAUAACACCGAAGCUGUGGAUUCGUAGUAAUACGAGUGGUAGAGGAGCAUUCUUAAGACCGACGAAGCAGUACCGAAAGGAGCUGUGGAGGGAUAAGAAGAGAGAAUGCCGGAAUGAGUAGCGAGAGUAAGGUGAGAAUCCUUACGGCCGAAUAUCUAAGGUUUCCAGGGUAAAGCUGAUCUGCCCUGGGUAAGUCGGGACCUAAGGCGAGGCCGAAAGGCGUAGUCGAUGGAAAACAGGUUGAGAUUCCUGUACCUGAUAUGAACAGAACUGUGGGGACGCAGAAGG
rnacentral:rRNA from 1 species